rnacentral:snRNA from 1 species
GGAUGUGAGGGCAAUCUGGCUGCAACAUGUCACCCGGCUGAUCUGGCUGGCUAGGCGGGUGUCCCCUUCCUCCCUCACCGCUCCAUGUGCGUCCCUCCCGAAGCUGCGUGCUCGGUCGAAGAGGACGACCACCCCCGAUAGAGGAGGACCGUUUCCUCGGUCAAGGAGUAGCUGCGCUCCCCUGCUGGAACCUCCAAACAAGCUCUCAAGAAAGGGGUAAAAGACCUAACACUGUUUCUCUU